rnacentral:lncRNA from 10 species
UGGGUUUUUGUUUUUAUUUUUAUUUAUUUAUUUAUUUUUGAGACUGAGUCUCACUUUGUUGCCCAGGAUGGAGUACAGUGGCGCAAUCUCGGCUCACUGCAACCUCGGCCUCCCAGGUUCAAGUGAUUCUCCUACCUCAGCCUCUUAAGUAGCUGGGAUUACAGGUGUGCGCCACCACGCCCGGCUAAAUUUUUUGUAUUUUUAGUAGAGACGGGUUUUCACUAUGUUGGCCAGGCUGGUCUCGAACUCCUGACCUUAGGUGAUCCACCCGCCUCAGCCUCGCAAAGUGUUGGGAUUACAGGCGUAAGCCACUGCGCCCGGCCAAUAUUUUUUUCUUUUUUCUUUUCUCCUUUUUUUUUUUUCUUUUUUUGAGUCAGAGUCUGUCGCCCAGCCUGGAGGGCAGUGGUGGGAUCUUGGCUCACUGCAAUCUCUGCCUUCCAGGCUCAAGCAAUUCUCCUGCCUCAGCCUCCUGAGUAGCUGGGACUACAGGCCUGCACUACCACACCUGGCUAACUUUUGUAUUUUUAGGAGACAGGGUUUCACCAUGUUGGCCAGGCUGGUCUCGAACUCCUGGCUUCAAGUGAUUCGCCUGCCUCCCAAAGUGAUGGGAUUACAGGCGUGAGCCACUGUGCCCGGCCAGGGUUUUUUUUUCCUGAAGGGCUGAUCAUGGCUUUGUUCCACUCACUGUGCCCUUCUUCCUCUGCUUGGAACUGGACAGAAGUUCCAAUAAGCUACUGUCUUCUAUUAAGUAAGGACCAGACAUGAAAAACUUUAUGGUGGGGAUGAGUGGAUGGGGCAAGGGUUUGGGGAGCAAUGAUCAACUGGGUAAAAUCCUGGGGAGUGGCAAUUGAGUGGGAAGGGAGUCAAGAAGUGUUUAGGGAAGGAUGUCGGGGAAGUGAGUAAUAGGUAGGUCAGAGGAUGGAGCAAGGGAAUGUUGAAAGGCAACGGAUAUGCUCUGUGGACAGGUGGCAAAAUAUCUGAAUGGGGGCCCAGGGAGGGCUACUAUGGAGUAACAGGGAAGGGACCCUGAGGUGCUGAUUUCUCAGAGAUAGACAAUGGGAUUGGAUAUGUGUUGGUGGAGGAAUGCAGAAAGCCCAGGCCAACUCCGAAUGCCAUUCAUUUACAUGAAAUCCCUCUUUAUGCCUCCACCAUCUGCAACAGACUAUGUGCUCACCCAAAUGGCUUGCUUUUAAUUCCAGCAAAUAAUAUCCCCUCUGCUUUCCCCCAAAUACAAAAGACACCAUUUAAAUUCAGCCAGGAUGGAAGAUCAUGAUAUUUGGAGAAAAUUCAAAGUCUGGGCCGCUCAGCUGUGCCUUAUCAUUCAAAAGUUACAUUUUGUUCAGGUUGGCUGGCUUCACAUGGUCAUCUCAACUUUUCACUCCUGUUUCUUUCUUCUUUUUUUUUGAGACAGAGUCUCGCUCUGUCGCCCAGGCUGGAGUGUGCAGUGGCGCGAUCUUGACUCACUGCAACCUCCGCCUCCUGGUUUCAAGCGAUCCUCCUGCCUCACCCUCCCGAGUAGCUGGGAUUACAGGCGCCCGCCACCAAGCCUGGCUAAUUUUUAUUUUUAUUUUUUAUUUUUUAAUUAGAGAGGAGGUUUCGCCAUGUUGCCCAGGCUGGUCUUGAACUCCUGACUUCAGGUGAUCCACCUGCCUCAGCUGCCCAAAGUGCUGGGAUUAUAGGCCUGAGCCACCCUGCCUGGCCCUCUCCUCUGUUUCUUGACCUGGUUUUGUUUACAAUUUGUUGCUGCAAUCUUCCUAUAACUGUUUCCAGAGUUGUGUGACGAAAAGGGAGGCUGGCACGCAGAGAGAUUUCUCACACUCUGUUGGCUUGUGCAGUUGAGACAAAAUUAAGCAAUGUAGAAAUUUAAGCUUCAGUUUUUAAUGACCUAGGUUUUUCCAGGCCUUCCCAUUUUGGAGUAUCACAGUACUCAGGGAUUUCUGAGUUUUCUCUCCCUUCCAGAGGAACUAUUCUUGAAUGGGAUUAUUAAGCACCCCUUCCUCAAUUCUUCAACAAAGCUCCGAGGAAUGAAUGUCUCAAGUUCUGCUGCUUUUAAAGUAUAAAAGAUAAAUUCAAAGUUCCUUAUGCUUCUCCUUUCUGGGAGAAUUCUGGGUUUUACUCCAACAGUGGGAAAGUUUUCUAAGCUGGUUUUGCUCCUGUCUCAUGGGCAAGGCAGUUUGGUCGGUGGCUGUUCUGUGGGCUGCUGUCUGGAGGAGACGGUCGGUGGAGACGGUCGGUCGGGGAGGUCACCCUGACAAUUAUGGCCAACUGACGGUGGAGGGAGUGGUCUCGGUUUGGCCCUCAGUCUGGAGUCACAGUCUGGAUUCACAGGCAGCGCAGAGAGAUGUUGGCUCAGGACCUGAGGCUGAGGCGUGCUGGGACAGCCUAGGGGGUGUCCUGGCUUUCCAGGGGCUGGGGAACCCUCUCUGGCCCGGGGGCGGGAGAAGCUGUUCCAGAAUCGGUUCUGGCUCCACUGCCACCUCAGCACUUUCUAAUUGCAGCUCCAAACAGCCGCAGCUGCAGUCAUAGCAACAGGCCCCGCCCACCGGGCUUCGCUCCUGGCGUCCAGCACGUGACGGCGACGCCUGCGUCGCUCCCUCAGCCCCUGGCGCUAAGGGAGGCGGGGAAGUGUGGGGGGAUGACGUUUACUCUGUCGUCUCCAUGGAUAUAAUGCAUAGACGUCAACGUCGCCAGUGUUUGGUGUGUAACGUUCUUCCGUCUCCAUGGGAACGUCAGGCGGCCAAACACCGGGCCCCAGCAACAGGCUUCUGAUUGGCCCGAGGCUUCCAAAGGCGGAGCUUCGUCUCCCGCGCCCGCUCGACUGUGUUGCUGUUUUGGUUGUUGUCUCCCACUUGUUUAUUUCUCUAACAGAUCCUGGAGGCUGAGGUCUAGAUCGGUCGCCAAGGAUGGGAUCCAGGAGAAAACGUGCUGAACGUGCAGCUUGCUCCUACCGAUUACAGCCCAGCAGAUGACAUAGUUCCACUGUGCUCUAGUCCAUUGUGGGAAUUAUGGCCCUCAUGCCCGGCGUCUGUCACAACCCAAUAUUUGGUGUUAUAACCCCUGCUCCCACCCCCCAGCACAUCUCAGAAGUGCCGUUACCCUCUCAGUCACAUCCCAGAAACUGUGUUGCCUUCACGGUUACUCUUGUUUAUGCUUGAGAGCACUCGGAGGCCUUUCCAUAUCUAAAGCCUGCAUUCAGUGCUACCCCCUGCAGGAUUUGGAUACAUUUCCCCGUCUGGUCCUAAUUCUGUUGAAUGACAUCAUUUAUCCGUAUUCCCACCCAGAGAUGGGCAGAUUUCUUGUAACCUGAAUAGAUACCAAAGAAUCCCAAAGGACCUGGGAAUAUAGCAUGUCUUGGUCUCUGAGAGCCAAUAUAUCUGGGUUACACUGAAAGAGGAAUAACGAGAUAAUAUUUACACUGUACAUUGAAGAUGACCUGAAAAGCUGGAAGAGGUGACUGAGGGCAUUUUCUCAGUGUGGAUGAAGAAGAGGGGAGGAAGGUGAAAGAUGACAGAAUAUCUAAGUGCCUAGAUUUGAUUCUAGCAUAUGAACCCAUUUUAUGAUUCUGUCCAAGGGCAUCAGUUAUAACCUCCAAAUUUCCAUGUCCUUCUCCAUCUCCCAGUCUUAGAAUUUUUUUUUUUUUUUUUUUUUGAGACAGAGUCUUGCUCUGUCACCCAGGCUGGAGUGUAGUGGCAGGAUCUUGGCUCACUGCAACUUCCACCUCUCAGGUUCAAGUGAUUCUCCUGCCUCAGCCUCCCAAGUGGCUGGGAAUACAGGCGCCUGCCACAACGUCUGGCUAAUUUUUGUAUUUUUAGUAGAGACAGGGUUUUGCCGUAUUGGCCAAGCUAGUCUUGAACUCCUGACCUCAAGUGAUCUGCCCACCUUGGCCUCCCAAAGUGCUGCUGGGAUUACAGGCGUGAGCCACCGCGCCUGGCCAGUUCUUUCUUUUUUUUCUUUCUCUCUCCUUUCCCUCCCUCCCUCCUUCCUUCCUUCCUUCCUUCCUUCCUUCCUUCCUUCCUUCCUUCCUUCCUUC